rnacentral:rRNA from 1 species
AACGAACGCUGGCGGCAUGCCUAACACAUGCAAGUCGAACGAGACCUUCGGGUCUAGUGGCGCACGGGUGCGUAACGCGUGGGAACCUGCCCUUAGGUUCGGAAUAACUCCCCGAAAGGGGUGCUAAUACCGGAUAAUGUCUUCGGACCAAAGAUUUAUCGCCUUUGGAUGGGCCCGCGUUGGAUUAGCUAGUUGGUAGGGUAAAAGCCUACCAAGGCGACGAUCCAUAGCUGGUCUGAGAGGAUGAUCAGCCACACUGGGACUGAGACACGGCCCAGACGCGUGCGGGAAGCAGCAGUGGGGGAUAGGUGAGAAUGGGUGUAAGGCUGAUACACUUUUUCCCAGUGGAUGAUGAAGACCUUAGGGUGGUAAAGCUCUGCUACCCGGGCUGAGCAAGACGGUGCGGGAAGAAUCGGAUAAGCAAAAUCUAGUC